AUUGAACACUGGCGGCAGGCUUAACACAUGCAAGUCGAGCGGGGUGAGGUGCUUCGGUACUGAUCCUAGCGGCGGACGGGUGAGUAAUGCUUAGGAAUCUGCCUAUUAGUGGGGGACAACAUCUCGAAAGGGAUGCUAAUACCGCAUACGUCCUACGGGAGAAAGCAGGGGAUCACUUGUGACCUUGCGCUAAUAGAUGAGCCUAAGUCGGAUUAGCUAGUUGGUGGGGUAAAGGCCUACCAAGGCGACGAUCUGUAGCGGGUCUGAGAGGAUGAUCCGCCACACUGGGACUGAGACACGGCCCAGACUCCUACGGGAGGCAGCAGUGGGGAAUAUUGGACAAUGGGGGGAACCCUGAUCCAGCCAUGCCGCGUGUGUGAAGAAGGCCUUUUGGUUGUAAAGCACUUUAAGUGGGGAGGAGGCUCUCUUGGUUAAUACCUAAGAAGAGUGGACGUUACCCACAGAAUAAGCACCGGCUAACUCUGUGCCAGCCGCCGCCGUAAUAC
rnacentral:rRNA from 1 species